CUCCCACCAACUUCAAAACCAAAAUCAAAAUCCAUUUUCAAGAGAGUUCGCUCUAGUCCUCUUCUCCAUACCCCUUAAUGCCAAUUCAAUUAACCUUCUUCAUCACACAAUGAAUUUCCAGAUGGAGAUCUGGGUGAUGGCAUCAUGAACCUUAAUUAUUUGGAAUGGGCGGAGUAGGAAAGAUGUGUGGCAUCAUCACACAAUUGGAGAAACAGGGCGCAAGCAUAUGAGUCCCUUUGAGGCACCAUAUGCAGUGAGGCCAGCUUAUCACCAAAAGAUAAAAUUCUCUGAAAUUGCGGGUGUUGUAACGAGUUUACUUUUCACUGUUGAUGCCCUCGCAAUAAUCAAUUUACUGAAGCCUGGCCACCACUAUUUCAUCUUUGAAGUCACAGCUACGUUGACAAUGCACUUGAACUUGGACUUUUGCAGGUUCCUGUGAAUCAACAACGUCGCCUUCCAUUGGUUCCUGCAGAAAAUAUUGCUUGGAAAAUUAUACAUAUAUAACUUGGUAGAAUAAUAUGAUAAUGUAUAGAAAUGUCUAGCAAUAAAGGGGAUUGAGGUUGAAAUCCCGUCUAUACAAAAAACCAAUUAGAGUUUUACUCUGAUGAUAAAAGCAAUUAUCAUAGAGUAGAUGCUUUAGAUUUAAAUUCUACUGUAUGUAUCCAAAAUAAUAAUAAUGUACAUAUGUAUGUUAAUAGAAGUUCUUUUCAUAAAUGUGGAACAAGA